CAUAAGGAAGUUGUCUUGACGCGAUUGGGUAGGAAAGUGGGACUGUGAAGAGUGGAUGAGCGGUAUCGAAGCUGUGGGAUCUGAAUGUUAUACUGACUGAUGGGUAACGGUAUUUGUGCAGGUGCUCUGGGUAAACGGGCGAAUUACGUUUUGCCUCUGAAAAAAAAAAAAGUCGACUGGAGAUGCUAUUUUGCUGGGAGUUGUUGAAUUUGUCCUGUCUCAUUAGUAAUUGAACAUGUUUGCGAUGAGCUGGAAGUGAUGGUGCGUUUCCUUAUGGAGCGAAGAAGUCACCAAAACGAAAAUCAGCAAUAGACUCUGCUGCAACUAGGGUGUCUUGUCGAGGAGAUGAGGAAAGAUAAGUUGUAGUUUUCCCGAAUGAUGACUGUCCUUGAAGGGGAGGAAAUAGAUAAAUGAAACUGGAGACCAUGCUGGACUACCACUAAAUGGUGGAAGGCACAAUACAUCAUCAUCAUUAUGCAUGAAGAAGUAAGCUGGACAGCAUACAGGGAAGAGAAAGUCACAGCUCGCAGGAAAGAGUGGUGCCGAAGACAUUGCAGCAAACUGUGAGGCGCACCAAGAGAGGUUAACUCACCUUAGGGAUUCAAAUCCCUCAGUAGCAGGCUGGCCGUGUACCUCCCACGUUAAGGACAGAUCACCUUCUGGCCAUCCGGCGCAUCCUCACAGGGUUGGAGUGCAGGCACUACUGUUUUCUUUAUUGGCAAUGAUUUUUAUAGCUUUGCAGAUGAAAGAAAUACAUCUGAAACCAUUGCAGUUCAAACUAGUGUUAUUGUUUUUAACCUGAUUACUUUGAAUAAUAUUAAAGGGUG